rnacentral:rRNA from 1 species
ACGCUCGACACCUACGGGGGCAGCAGUGGGGAAUAUUGCACAAUGGGGGAAACCCUGAUGCAGCGACGCCGCGUGAGCGAAGAAGUAUUUCGGUAUGUAAAGCUCUAUCAGCAGGGAAGAAAAUGACGGUACCUGACUAAGAAGCCCCGGCUAACUACGUGCCAGCAGCCGGACGGUAAUCGUGGACGGCCGGGCGUGGACGAAGGC